rnacentral:rRNA from 1 species
UACGUAGGUGGCAAGCGUUGUCCGGAUUUAUUGGGCGUAAAGGGAGCGCAGGCGGUGACUUAAGUCUGAUGUGAAAGCCCACGGCUCAACCGUGGAAGGUCAUUGGAAACUGGGUCACUUGAAUAUAGAAGAGGAAAGUGGAAUUCCAUGUGUAGCGGUGAAAUGCGUAGAUAUAUGGAGGAACACCAGUGGCGAAGGCGGCUUUCUGGUCUAUUAUUGACGCUGAGGCUCGAAAGCAUGGGUAGCAAACAGGAUUAGAUA